GCCCUUCUAGUAUAUUAAUUACAAUUGACUUCCAAUCUCUAAAAUCUGGCACAAACCCAGAGAUGGGCA
rnacentral:tRNA from 1 species